rnacentral:rRNA from 1 species
UUUUAUUUGAGAGUUUGAUCCUGGCUCAGGAUGAACGCUGGCGGCGUGCCUAACACAUGCAAGUUGAGCGAUUUACUUCGGUAAAGAGCGGCGGACGGGUGAGUAACGCGUGGGUAACCUACCCUGUACACACGGAUAACAUACCGAAAGGUAUGCUAAUACGGGAUAAUAUAUUUGAGAGGCAUCUCUUAAAUAUCAAAGGUGAGCCAGUACAGGAUGGACCCGCGUCUGAUUAGUUAGUUGGUAAGGUAACGGCUUACCAAGGCGACGAUCAGUAGCCGACCUGAGAGGGUGAUCGGCCACAUUGGAACUGAGACACGGUCCAAACUCCUACGGGAGGCAGCAGUGGGGAAUAUUGCACAAUGGGCGAAAGCCUGAUGCAGCAACGCCGCGUGAGUGAUGAAGGCCUUCGGGUCGUAAAACUCUGUCCUCAAGGAAGAUAAUGACGGUACUUGAGGAGGAAGCCCCGGCUAACUACGUGCCAGCAGCCGCGGUAAUACGUAGGGGGCUAGCGUUAUCCG